UGAUCGGCCCUUUUCAGAGCCAACAAAUGUAUACUAAAGAGUUAUUU
rfam:Aedes aegypti strain Liverpool supercont1.298 genomic scaffold, whole genome shotgun sequence.